CCUACGGGAGGCAGCAGUAGGGAAUAUUGCUCAAUGGGCGAAACCCUGAUGCAGCAACGCCGCGUGGAGGAUGAAGGUUUUCGGAUUGUAAACUCCUUUUGUUAGAGAAGAUAGUGAGGGUAUCUAACGAAUAAGCACCGGCUAACUCCGGGCCAGCAGCCGCGGUAAUACGGAGGGUGCAAGCGUUACUCGGAAUCACUGGGCGGAAAGAGCGCGUAGGCGGGAUAGCAAGUCAGAUGUGAAAUCCUAUGGCUUAACCAUAGAACUGCAUUUGAAACUGUUAUUCUAGAGUAUGGGAGAGGUAGGUGGAAUUCUAGGUGUAGGGGUAAAAUCCGUAGAGAUCAAGAGGAAUACUCAUUGCGAAGGCGACCUGCUAGAACAUAACUGACGCUGAUGCGCGAAAGCGUGGGGAGCAAACAGGAUUAGAUACCCGUGUAGUC
rnacentral:rRNA from 1 species